CCUAUAAUUUACUAACUCUUUGUAAGUCCUAGUCCUUUUAUGAUUCGAAAUCAUGAUUCAACAAUCCAAUUAGUCAAGACCUCUUUUAUGUGUGACUCCAUAAGUUUUAUUCUGCUUGAGAGUAAGAAAUAUUUUGAUCUCUAUCAAAAUAAUAUUGAAACUUCUUUCAAUAGAUUAGAAUAAUUCCAACUCACUAAUCGAGAAUUAUUAACCAUCAAAAUAAUUCUUGUUGGUCCCA
rnacentral:lncRNA from 1 species